UACGGAAGGGGCAAGCGUUGUUCGGAAUCAUUGGGCGUAAAGGGCGCGUAGGUGGUUCUGUAUGUCUACCGUGAAAGCCCCCGGCUCAACCGGGGAGGGUCGUCGGGGACGGGAUCGCUUGAGGACGGCAGGGGCAGGUGGAAUUCCCGGUGUAGUGGUGAAAUGCGUAGAGAUCGGGAGGAACACCCGUGGCGAAGGCGGCCUGCUGGGCCGAUCCUGACGCUGAGGCGCGAAGGCGUGGGGAGCGAACGGGG
rnacentral:rRNA from 1 species